CAAUAGCGUAUAUUAAAGUUGUUGCAGUUAAAAAGCUCGUAGUUGGAUUUGUGGUUCGUCCCGCCGGCUGGGGCAUUGACUUUUGCUGUGCUGGUCGUCCAUCCUUGGGUGGAAUCUGUGUGGCAUUAGGUUGUCGCGCAGGGGAUGCCCAUCGUUUACUGUGAAAAAAUUAGAGUGUUCAAAGCAGGCUUAUGCCGUUGAAUAUAUUAGCAUGGAAUAAUGAUAUAGGACCUUGGUACUAUUUUGUUGGUUUGCGCAUCGAGGUAAUGAUUAAUAGGGACAGUUGGGGGUAUUCGUAUUCCAUUGUAAGAGGUGAAAUUCUUGGAUUUUUGGAAGACGAACUACUGCGAAAGCAUUUACCAAGGAUGUUUNCAUUAA
rnacentral:rRNA from 1 species